rnacentral:lncRNA from 1 species
AUAUAUAUAUAUAUAUAUAUAUAUAUAUAUUAAUGUAAAAAAUUAUAAUAUUUAUAAAUUAAUAAUUUAAGAAUACAUAUCACAGAUUUUAUUAAACUUAAUUACUACUUCACACAUCGACAAAUUUUAUGUAUGCACUUCGGAACUAAAGGAAAUUUACAGCUUGAUUUAGAACAUUCUUUAUCAUCCGUGCACACAAGCAUAUCUGUUAUGUUAAAUAAAAAAAGGAAUGUUAAUAAUGAAGAAAAUAUUUAAAGAAAAAAAGACAGCAAAUAAACUUACAUAGGGCUUCUUCGGUUACAAUAGUAAAUGUCAAAAGAAAAAAAAUAAUAAUGUAAACAAACUUAAGAAUUUGAGUCAUAUUUUUCUCGUUCUCUUGCAAAAAUAAAAACUAUGUCAUCAAUUAUAGUGUAAAAAUAUUCAAUCUUUAAAUUAAAAUAAUUGUUAAAUGUC